rnacentral:rRNA from 1 species
GACGGAGGAUGCAAGUGUUAUCCGGAAUCACUGGGCGUAAAGUGUCUGUAGGUGGUUUAAUAAGUCAACUGUUAAAUCUUGAGGCUCAACCUCAAAAUCGCAGUCGAAACUAUUAGGCUAGAGUAUAGUAGGGGUAAAGGGAAUUUCCAGUGGAGCGGUGAAAUGCGUAGAGAUUGGAAAGAACACCGAUGGCGAAGGCACUCUACUGGGCUAUUACUGACACUCAGAGACGAAAGCUAGGGGAGCAAAUGGG